UUCUCUGCCUGUACCCCUAAUCUCUGUUUGUUUGUUUUUGAGACAGAGCCUCUCUAUUGCCCAGGCUGGAGUGCAGUGGCACCAUCUUGGCUUCAGUGGACCCGGAGAGAAGGCCAGACUGGCUGGAAUGGCUGAUAAGAGAGGAAACUCUAAAGGAGAAAGCCUCUCCUGCUGGGCCAGAGGGGCCGGACCAGAUUGGAACUCAGAGCUAACUCCAAAGACCUCACACUCUCAGCUCUAUGAAGCUGCUUCUCCAAUUGGAAGCCAAGAUUCCCCCAGGGAAGCCGAGGAAAGCACUGUGACGAUGCUGAUGCUGGUGGCCAUUACUGGGCAUCUGCUAUGAAUGGAUACAUACCCAGAUGCGAAUAACGAUGGCAGUUACUGUUGAGCAUCUACAGGGUGUAUUUUACACUCAUCACUGCAUGUACUCUUCUCAUCACACCUAGGAGGUAAAUGUCAUUAUUCCCAUUUGACAAAAGACAAAAAUAGGGUGAGGCAGCUGCCUAGCCUCACUGGUUGUGGAACAACCAGAAUUUCCAAACCGAGGUUAUUCCGGCUCCAAAGUCUUCCUACUCACUUAACCCACUGCUGUUCCUUGUUCUGCUGGCCUCAUAUGACCUGAGUUUUCAAUGAGCAAAUCCUAGUUUCUUCACCGGACCCAAAUCCCAUCUGCACUUUUAUUCCCACCACUGCUCACCUGUCAGGAAGAACUGAUGACAUUUUAUCCCCUGUGCUUGCCUACCUGGCCUGACUCCAGGGCCCUCCCUUGUUUCUGCUGCCUGACCUUGGAGAAGGCAGUUCUGGCUAGUCCUGGGUGCCUAGUCUCCCUCUUCUAAAUGGCUGGGGUGCAGGAAUGUGCCUGGAGAGUAAGGCCACUAGACUACAGCAAGAGUCUCAGCAGAGGGAUGACCUGUUUCUUUCAUCUUUUAAAACUAUGUCUGUAUUAGUCCUUGAUUGUAAAAGUGAAAUAUUCUUUCUAAUAUGGGUUUUGUUGGGACGCAGUAUUGGGCGGUGGCUAAGAGUGUGGAUCAAACAAUAUACAGUAGGUUUAACUCAUUCAAACAACAGCAAGAUGGUAUUUCACAAAUGAACCACAAUUUAGUCAACCAAUCUUCUGCUAAUGGAUAGUCACUUGGUUUCCAGUUUUUUUCUUUUUCUUUUUGGU